rnacentral:rRNA from 1 species
GACGAACGCUGGCGGCGUGCUUAACACAUGCAAGUCGAACGGGAUUUAGUAGACAGAAGCCUCGGCUAAAGAUUACUAAUGAGAGUGGCGAACGGGUGAGUAACGCGUGAGCAACCUGCCUAUGACAGUGGGAUAGCCUCGUGAAACCGGGAUUAAUACCGCAUAAAAUCGUAGAAACACAUGUUUUAACGGUCAAAGAUUUAUCGGUCAUAGAUGGGCUCGCGUCUGAUUAGCUAGUUGGUGAGAUAACAGCCCACCAAGGCGACGAUCAGUAGCCGGUCUGAGAGGAUGAACGGCCACAUUGGAACUGAGACACGGUCCAAACUCCUACGGGAGGCAGCAGUGGGGAAUAUUGCACAAUGGGGGAAACCCUGAUGCAGCGACGCCGCGUGAACGAAGAAGGUAUUCGUAUCGUAAAGUUCUGUCCUAUGGGAAGAUAAUGACAGUACCAGAGAAGAAAGCUCCGGCUAAAUACGUG